CGAGGGCGUGUAUAAUGGAAGCUGGGGAGGCCGGGGAGAGGUUAUCACCACCUAUUGUCCUGCUAACAAUGAGCCGAUAGCGAGAGUCCGACAGGUAAGUGGGUUUUGUUUUUUUUAAAUGCAAAAUGCCCACUGGGAGUUUGUGCCAGUGAUGACGAGCAAUACAACUUUACAAAGUCAAAGAAUAAUGUUUCUUU